rnacentral:rRNA from 1 species
GUGCCAGCAGCCGCGGUAAUACGUAGGGUCCAAGCGUUGUCCGGAUUUACUGGGUAUAAAGGGUGCGCAGGCGGAUCUGUGCGUCGGAGGUUAAAGACCCGGGCUCAACCCGGGAAGUGCCUUCGAUACGGCAGGUCUUGAGUGUGAGAGAGGAUAGUAGAAUUCCUGGUGUAGCGGUGAAAUGCGUAGAUAUCAGGAGGAAUACCAGUGGCGAAGGCGGCUAUCUGGCUCAUAACUGACGCUUAGGCACGAAAGCGUGGGGAUCAAACAGGAUUAGAUACCCGGGUAGUCC